rnacentral:rRNA from 1 species
UACGUAGGGUGCAAGCGUUAAUCGGAAUUACUGGGCGUAAAGCGUGCGCAGGCGGUUAUGCAAGACAGAUGUGAAAUCCCCGGGCUCAACCUGGGAACUGCAUUUGUGACUGCAUGGCUAGAGUACGGUAGAGGGGGAUGGAAUUCCGCGUGUAGCAGUGAAAUGCGUAGAUAUGCGGAGGAACACCGAUGGCGAAGGCAAUCCCCUGGACCUGUACUGACGCUCAGGGACGAAAGCUAGGGGAGCGAAUGGG